rnacentral:tRNA from 1 species
AGAAACUUAGGAUAAAUUAGACCAAGGGCCUUCAAAGCCCUAAGCAGAAGUUAAAAUCUUCUAGUUUCUG